rnacentral:rRNA from 1 species
UCCUACGGGGGACAGCAGUAGGGAAUUUUCGUCAAUGGGCGCAAGCCUGAACGAGCAAUGCCGCGUGAACGAGGAAGGUCUUCGGAUCGUAAAGUUCUGUUGAAGGGGAAAAAGAGCGGAGAGAGGAAAUGGUCUCCGAUUGAUAUUACCCUUCGAGGAAGUCACGGCUAACUACGUGCCAGCAGCCGCGGUAAUACGUAGGUGGCGAGCGUUAUCCGGAAUGAUUGGGCGUAAAGGGUGCGUAGGCGGCCUGCUAAGUCUGGAGUGAAAGGUACCGGCUCAACCGGUACAGGCUCUGGAAACUG